GCGCAAUGCGAAUGUCAAUGUCAUUCACACCAAUAGACUAUAUUGAAAGAGCAUCGUUUGUUCGAAACGUGAAUAGAAACUUAGGCUGCGCGACGUCGCCGCUUCUGCGUACGCUGAUCAUGAUCAAGAGUCCCUCUGUGACUCGAAACUAGUAGAGCUUUUCUCUAUUCAUUUACGUACACAUAUUUGCAAGAUUUAACAGACAAAUAUGCUGUAGCGGGAACAUUAAGAAAUAGGGCUCGGCAAGAAGAAGCACACGAGCAAUGGAGAACCAUAUAUAAUGUUAAUUAUCCUGCUUCGUAUAAAUUCCCGGAGCAUGACAUUGCUGUUCUGUUCGUAUUUCCUUACACUUUAAACGAUUUAGUGAAACCGAUCAAAAUAGCAAAGACAUAUGAAAAUUAUGAAGGUUACUGCUUGGUAUCAGGGUAUGGUGAAGUUUCCAAUCAGGUUACAUCCGACACCUUAAUGAAGGCAUACGUGUUAAUUCUUGCAAAUAAUAAAUGCCCUCGCGUCACUCAAUAUAGAGAUCUCGAAUAUAACAUAUGCACAUCAGCCAUUGGAACAGACAUCGGGAGGGGAGAUUCAGGAAGCCCUUUAGUCUGCACAAAGACAAACGCUGACUCGAGUAAAAGUAAUAUUUUGGUUGGUAUUGCAAGUGGCGCAUACCCUGGCCAAAAUGCUUUCUUCACGAGAGUGUCGGCGUAUACGGAUUAUAUUCAUGGAUGUGCGAAAAUUAACGAAAGUUCUUUUUUA